rnacentral:lncRNA from 1 species
UACUUAUCCUCACGAUUCUAAUUAGGUCUUUCCACUUUUCGUGGAAAGACCUUUUGUUUUUCUUCUGAUUAUUUUUUUUUUUUUUUUUUUUCUUCUGCCGUCUGAGAUGCUUUUUUGUCUUACAACAUAUCGAAUGGAUUUUUUGGCCAAUGAUGUUGUACAGUAAUGGGGGUUUCAAAACUCACCCUGUGUGACCGAACAUUUAUUCUUAUAGGAGUUACCUCCCCGCAUCCCCUUUUUCUUGUUAUCGCUAUAUCUCUAAAACCGUAAAAGAUUUUAGCAAACUGUUUUCACCAAAUUGUUCGUCUACUCUUGAGAAUGAUUUGGUUUAUUUUGACUUCAGUAAUCGGAAGACAUCUUAUGGGAGUUAUUUCCCUUUGAAAAUUUAAGAUAGGCGAUUUGUUGGAUCAAUUCAUACGUUAUAAGUCGUAGAGGCCUACAGUCUUUUGAUAUGAAGUCCUUGGUCCAUUUGAAAGAAAAUUGAGGUCAAGGUCAAAGGUCAAGGUCAUGUUCUAAAUUUUGAAUUUUGCUUGUUAUCGUUAUACCACAGAAAUUGUGACAGUAAAUGAUAUGAUGUGUUUGCCAAAU